UACGGGGGGGGCAAGCGUUGUUCGGAAUUACUGGGCGUAAAGGGCGCGUAGGCGGUCUGUUAAGUCGGAUGUGAAAACUCUGGGCUCAACCCAGAGCCUGCAUCCGAAACUGGCAGGCUAGAGUUCUGGAGGGGGUAGCGGAAUUCCUGGUGUAGCGGUGAAAUGCGUAGAUAUCAGGAGGAACACCGGUGGCGAAGGCGGCUACCUGGACAGAAACUGACGCUGAGGCGCGAAAGCUAGGGGAGCGAACGGG
rnacentral:rRNA from 1 species